CGCGAGCAUUGUAACGGAUUGCAAGUCACGGACGCUUGGAUUAACGGUACUGUUGCCCUCAGUGUCAUCUAUGUGUGAGUGAGAGUGUGUGACCGGUCAACAAAAAAAAUUAACAACAAAAACCCUUUACUAAACCCCAAAAUCGACACUCGUGCAUGAGUGGUUAAAAAAGUGAAUCAGUGUAACAGUUGAGAGUUCGAAAAACCACUUUCAAAAUGAUAUCAAACGAAAUAUGAUUGCAAGCAGCUGAUAAACAGCGUACAAAACAGCAUUCAGCCAAAACAAAGUGAUCUAGAAAAAGUGUUAAGCUAAAUCGUUCAAUUUGGAAGGAACAAAGAUCAUAACCGCUCAAACAAGUCACAUAAAUUUUGAACGGAGCAGGAAGCCAUUCGAAACAAAAAUCCGUCAGAAAUCAACAACCAACAUGUUUGGCCAUCUCAAUUUGCUGGCCGCUCUGUUUUUCAUCGGCACACUGAAAGGUAAGUCGCUGAGAACUUUUCCGACCGCCCACCCAUCGACUUCUACCAUCUUCCGAAAUAAGGUAAACAAGGAAAACACUCAACUUCUUUGUGCCCUGCGAACAACUGUGUCGUUGUCGUUGGCGUGAAAAAAUCCAUUAGAAGUGGAACUAUGUCAAUCGAUGGCAGAAAGAAAGAACAUUGAGUGACGAAGAGGAAGAAAGCUCCGGGGCGAAGCAUAAGCUGUAC